CAGUCCUUUCAGGAUUGGAAGCAGUAUGUCAAUUGCCCAGCAGCAUCUUUGGGAAGAUGUCGCUGUCAGUUUUAUGACUGGACUUGCAGUUUAAAAUGUAACUGUAGUUUCUAUGCUCCAGUUGGUUCAAUGUAUUUCAUAUCGAGGGUUAUGAUAUAGUGAUGAAGAGUCUGUAUUUCUUUUUUACUUUGUAUCUCUAGUCUUAGUACUAUUUUGAACAUAUUUUUGUAUGCAUUGGCUUCUGUAAAGGUCGAGGUGAUCCAUUUUCUUUUUAUGGUGAA